GACGAACGCUGGCGGCGUGCUUAACACAUGCAAGUCAUGGGGGCCCGCAAGGGCAACCGGCGAACGGGUGCGUAACACGUGAGCGACCUGCCGAGUACCGGGGGAUAGCCGGCCCAACGGCCGGGUAAUACCGCAUAUGCUUCCUGCGGGGCAUCUCGUGGGAAGGAAACCUCCGGGGGUAUUCGAGGGGCUCGCGGCCUAUCAGCUAGUUGGUGGGGUAAUGGCCCACCAAGGCGACGACGGGUAGCNGGUCUGAGAGGAUGGCCAGCCACAUUGGGACUGAGAGACGGCCCAGACUCCUACGGGAGGCAGCAGUGGGGAAUCUUGCGCAAUGGGCGGAAGCCUGACGCAGCAACGCCGCGUGGGGGAUGACGGCCUCGGUUGU
rnacentral:rRNA from 1 species